rnacentral:rRNA from 1 species
AAUGAAGCGCCAUGGAGGGUGAGAGCCCCGUCCAUCCCGCACAGGAUCCAUUCGUACAAGGACGCUUCAACCGAGUCGGGUAGCUUGGGAAUGCUGCUCUAAUUGGUGGUAAAUCUCAUCAAAGGCUAAAUAGUGGUGGGAGACCGAUAGCGAACAAGUACCGUGAGGGAAAGAUGGAAAGAACUUUGAAAAGAGAGUGAAAAGCACUUGAAACCGUCACGGGGGAAGCGGAUUGCGUGAGUGAUGGUGUCGCUUGUUCAGCGCUUUAUUGCGUGCAUUCUGGCGGCGCCGUGCCGGCGUGGCUGGCUGGACUGUGAUUUUGACAGUCUCGGCUGGUGAGGGCUCCCUCGUAUGAGGUGAGGACGCGGGCAAAAUGACGCAAUACGACCCGUCUUGAAACACGGACCAAGGAGUCUAGCACGGCUGCGAGUCGAAGAGUGAUUAAACUCAAGGGCGCAGUGAAAGCGAAAUUAUAAGCAAAUUGGGGAGGCGUUGCGUUUUUAACAAAAUGUCCUACCUCGAGCAUUUGUGCUGGGACCCGAAAGAUGGUGAACUAUGCCGGAGUAGGGCAAAGCCAGAGGAAACUCUGGUGGAGGCUCGUAGCGAUGCUGACGUGCAAAUCGCUCGUCGAACUUGGGUAUAGGGGCGAAAGACUAAUCGAACCAUCUAGUAGCUGGUUCCCUCCGAAGUUUCUCUCAGGAUAGCGGGCCGACACGCGUUUGUUGUUUUGUGCGGUAAAGCGAAUGAUUAGUGCAUUUGGGGUACGAAGUACUUCGGGCGAUUCUCAAACUUUAAAUGCGCAAGGGGGUGGCUGCUUAAUUGAGCCUACUCUUUGAAAAACGUCGGCCCUGUGGGCCACUUUUGGUAAGCAGAACUGGCGAUAAGGGAUGAACCUUAAGCGCGGU